UUCGGUGGCCAUAGCGAAGGGGUAACACCUCUUCCCAUUCCGAUCAGAGUAGUUAAGUCCUUCUGCGCCGAUGGUACUGCUUGGGCAACCUUGUGGGAGAGUAGGUCGUCACCGAUG
rnacentral:rRNA from 1 species